AGACCACUUCAGCUUAAUGGAGAAGAGGAGGAUCGGAGGAGGAGAGCUCCCCGCCCAGCGCUGGAAAAAGGUAAGUUUUAACCCCUUUCCCCCUUCCAGAGCCGGGCGGGAGGGGGACCCUGAGGGUGGGGGCACCCUCAGGGCACUAUAGUGCCAGGAAAACUAGUAUGUUUUCCUGGCACUAUAGUGGUCCUUUAAAUAAGAUGACAGAUUUUGUAUUGUUCUUUUUGACUUGUCCUUACAAUACCGAAUGUCCGUUGACUCUGCAUUGGUGUGUGUGUGAGAGUGGGUGUGUAUGUGUAUAUAGCUGUUAAGGAGUGUGAAAUAUUUGUUGCUAUUCUAUUCUAUGCUGCAUUACUUAUGCGUGUUUUCAAUGUAUUUUCGUUGUAUUUGUUAUUGAUAUGUUUAAAUGCAGGUUGUUAAAAUUUGUAAAUGCAUUCACACUCUGAAUUCUUCAUUCUUGUUGUCAAUGG